UAGCAACGCUAUAAGAGGGGCUGAGCAAAGCGGUAACAUAGCCAAACAACGGUUUGCUAGGAAUGGUGUCAAAGGUUAGAGGUUCAUGGCAAUUUGGGAGGCUGACAAGCAAAUGGUAGGCAUCGUGGCAUUGGCAUAGCAAAAGAGCGAGCAAACUAGCAUAGCAAAGAUAGUAGUGAUUUCGAGGGUAUGAUCAUCUUGCCUGGGAUCCCGCAAGGAAGAAGAACGAUUCCAUGAAGAAGACAAACGGACGAAGACGAACGAAUCCUCACAACUCCGGAACGAAACCGAAGCUAACGAGAGAAGCAACCCGGAAAGAAACAAACAACAUGGUAAACAAACAUCACAUAAACAUGGCAUGAUGCACAAACAAGUAUGAUGCAUGUCCGGUUUAAUGAGGCAUGGCAUGGCAAAGUGCACAAACAAUCCUACAAAUUAAAUGGAGCUCAAUAUGCAACUGCAUAUUGACGAAACACCACGAUAAGUUAUUUAGUUCGAUCCCGUUUAUGUACUCAACAAUAUUAAAUGUUGGUUAACAUGGUAAGAGGUGAAGCAUAAUAUAAACUAUACCAUCUAAACAAUUUAAAUGGGGCCGGAUAUAAAAACAACAAAUCCGGUAAAUCCCCAUAUGCAUUUAGCAAUUUAAUGCAACAACAAGUUUAAACAUUUUAAAUGUUGUUAUCAUGAUGCGGAUGACAUAUGCAAGCAUUAUGCAAUUUUUAUGAAAACGUUGACAUGAGCAUGUUAUGAAGCAUUUGGUCGCCAUGGCGGAACGAAAAGGGUGCCACGGCGGCGAAACAAAAAUGGUGCCACGGCAGCAUAUCCGAAAAUGGUGCCACGGCAACAUUCUGAUGAUCCGAUAACUCAUUGAGAUACCGGUGCAAAAGAGCAAAUGUGCCGAACAUGCAAAAGAUGGUGGGGUGCUCCCGACUACCGGGUUCCCACGGGUCGACGGCAUGGCAACGAGGAGGAACGUGCAAAGACAAACGGGCACGGCGCAAACACGAGCAUCUCAUACAUGCAAGGGCAUCUCAUCGCGGUCGUCUCGGGUUAUACCUUCGAAGCGUGCGUUUCGGGCGGAUCGAGUUCGUAGAGGGAAGUAGACGUUCACGGGCGUCGUGGAAGUAGUGGUACACGUUUGUUUUCGGAGAGGUACUUGACGAAUCCAACAUCUUCGGGGCGACGGUAGUGGUUCACGGACGUCGUGGAAGUAGUUGUUCUUGCAGCAGUCGUGGAAGUAGACGUUCACGUUUGGAGAGGAACUUGUCGCAACCAAGUCCUUCGGGGCUCGUCGGUAGUGGUACUUGGCGAAAUGCACGUCGACGGUAGUCGUUCUAGGCAGGAAACAGUAGUUGUACACGGGUCUUCGGCGUCGAGGUACUUGGCGUUCCAAAACAGAGCAACACCAAAAGGCCUAGGGUCUUGGCGAUGUAGAUGAACACGAGGUCCUGCCCGGGGCUGGUCUUGGCCUUGGCGUUCCUGGUCGAUGAGGGCGAGCGGAGGCGCAUCCUCCUCCCUGCUCGAACAAGGCAGAGGCGGGGCAUGGGGCUGCUCCUGCAAAGGGGCGACGGGAGCCGGACGGUGGCGCUCGGGGAUGGCUGAGGCGGAACCAGAUGGCGAGGCGGCAAGCUUGGCGCGGGCGCCGGGGCCGCCGGAGUUGGCCGAGCUCGGGGACGCCAUGGCAGCAGAAUCUCGGGGCCGAGGACGAGGUCGAGCCGAAGGCAGGGAGGCGGUGGGCUCCUCUGGGCGCAGAUGAAGACGGCGGCGGGCACGAGGAGAAGACAGGGGGCCGCUGAACGAGCUUGAGGGCGACGGAGGGGCGCCGGAGUUGGCCGUCCCGGUGGAGUUGCGGAGGCCGGGCGUGGGGCUGAUGGAACGGGACGCGACGGAGGCAAGGAGGCCGACGGGGCUCCGGCCUGGCUCUCCUCUCCGGCGAGGGCGGAGCGCGGGAGCAAGGGGAGGACCCUGGAGGCGGGGCGACGAGCGAGAGGAGGGUUCGGGCGCGGUGGAGAGCUCGGCAGCGGGGUCAGCAGCGGCAGCCGCGGGAGGCCGAGGCUGGCAGGGCGCGGGGGCGCUCGAGAAAGGGAGGCAUCGCGAGGUGGAGAUGGUUCGGCGGCGGGGUCACGCGCGAGGUGAGAGGCGAGAGGGAGAUGGGGAUCGAGAGGAGGGAGUGGGGGUGUGCGUGCGACGGCGCACAGGGGGACAAGGGGAGAUCAAUGGAGAGGGGAUCGAGAGGAUGGAGCUCCUCUCCUGAGCGGCGGCGCUGUGUGGGAACGAGGGGAGAAAUCGACAGGAGGGAGAUGGAGGCGCUGCGGGAGGGAGAGAGCGAGAUGCGGGCUAGGGUUAGGAGGGGGGCGGCUGGGCUGCUGGGAUUUAGUGGGCCGGCCUGGUUAGACAGGCCCAAGAGGCCGGCUGGGCUUCUCUUCUCUCCCUCCUAUUCUUUUCCAUUUACAAAAAAAAAACAGAAAAGAGAAAGAAGAGAAAGAGAAGGUAGGGGUGGAAUCUGGGCAUGGAGACAAUUUUCCCGGACUCACAAAAAUGAGCUCGAUCCAGGAAAAAUAGAAGUGGGCAUGAUCGAAAGAUUAAAUUCAAAAUCAUUUGAAUUUAAUUCAAUAGGUUUGAACUAGGACUAGGAUUUAGAAGAGUCCAAAAUUGUUGAGAAUUUAGGAGGAGCCUCGAUAAAUGGAAAAAGAAAUGUUGGCAAAGUUUGGGGACCAAACUUGAAGUAGAAAGGGAGUGGGGAUUUUUCAAGUGUGUUAUGGUGAUUCCAAAGAAUGGAUUAUUUUAUAAUAGCUCCACUAAUAUCGGGAGGAUAUAUUAUAAAGAGAAGUCAUCCUUCCCUCGAUUUAAAUGGAUCGAAGAUCCAUACAAUUUAUUUAGUUGAUGUUUUAAAAAAUUAAUGAUAUGAUGGCAUGAUGACAUGAUGCAAUGCACAUGAUGCAAGGAUGAAUGCAACAAAUAAAACAAAUCACAUGAUGAAACUCGGAAUAGCUGGAAGUCUUCUGGAGCGUCGGUCUCGGGGCGUUACAACACUCCACCACUACAAGAGGAUCUCGUCCCGAGAUCUAGGAUGGCACCGGAGAGAAACGGAAGAGGAAGAGAAGAUGUAAACUAAGUUGCUUCUCUGACAAACGAGUGAAACCACGAACCUUGAGGGGUUGAACAAAUUGGAAGAAAUGAAACAACGGAGGAGAACAAAGUUCACAACACUCCGUUAAGAAAGAGGAAAAGAAGGAACCGAUCCGGGUAGCACUCCGGUUGAGAAGGGAUGCAAGACUAGCUAAGAUGAAAAGAACUUGAGCAGAGGACACGACACUCUGGUUAAAUGGAUAAGCACGAAAAGAACAUGAUCUUUGACAAACGAGAUGAUGGGUUGAAAAGAGCAACAUCACAAUGCCUCCGGAAGAAAGAAUAGAAGAUAAAUCAUUGGAAUAACCGAAUGGAGAAGAAAAUGCCAACUUCUGCCACAAAUGAGUUUGGAAAGCAUCCUUGCAAAGAAGAAUUGAACGGAGUUGUUGGAAAAUCAACAACGAAAAGCACAAGCUUGUAGUGGGCUUAUGGAAAACAUCUCAAAAUUAUGAGGUGACAACCGGCCACUAACGGAAACGAUUGCUAGCUUUAGAUCGACGAAGAGAUGAACACUUCUUCCACCAAGAUGAUAAAGAGAUAACUUGGAUCAUUGGCAAGCACCACAAAUAGCAACAUUCCAAUGGAAGGCUUUUAGGUGAAAUAUGACACAAGAUAACUCCAACAACGAGGUUGAUGGAUUUAAAAAUAACUCAUUCUUAACAACAUGUGAAUCAUGGAACACAUGAACUCAAAUUAUCAAGAAUGACAUAAUACCACCUCCAAAAUAUGGUAGAAAGAAUUGCACUCCGGAUUACCAUAUAAAGAAAGCUUGAGCUCCCUAGAAAUGAAUCUUGAUGAAAACUUUGAGAAGGAAUUAAAUCCUUUAUAAACCAACAUGUAGAACCUCCAUGAAGAACUCCGGUAACCAAAAGGAAUGAAAAGAAAGAGAAAUUGAAAACACAAGGUGAAUCGUUGCAAUGAUUUAGAUGGAUCUCCGUGAUAAUUAGAGCUUGGAACUCCGGGAAAAAGAGAAGAUGAAACAAAUGAAAUCGAGAAUUUUAAGGGCCUCCGGAAUAAAGAAUUAAUCACUUGGAUGAACAAGAAUAAGAAUUAUGUUAUGCUUAUCCUUCACCAAUUAAAUUGACGACAAUCAACGGAUUUGGCAUACUACUUAUUCUCGUAGAAAGGAUUAAAAGAGAUAUAUCAAAACUUGAGAAUGUCUUUAACGAACCACCGGUAGGAUUGGAACAACAAAUGAAUUGAUAUGAUGAACAAGGAAGAGAGAUCUUGAAAGAACCACCGUAAGAAUUGAAAAUGAUCGAAGUAGGGGUGCAUCACCGGUUAGAAUUAGCAAAUACACGAAGAUGCUUGAGAGGAUUUAGAUACAUGAGAACGACGAGAUCACGAGCCGAUUAAAGAUCACUUGAACGAAGCACCGGUAUGAUUUAGAGUAUGCGAGCUGAAAGCUGGACUGAAUCAAUCUUACAUGAUGGGCUCCGGAUAAUCCGACAGGAAAUACUCUGAAUUACUCCGGAUGAGUGAAAAGAAUUCUGACAAUCGAAAACAACUAUGAGAGGAUGGCAUAACGCUAGAACCACGAAUCUUGAAGAGAAUAGAGCAAGAUUAAAGAGAAACUCUUCUUUGGUCUUCAAAUGAUGAGAAUGACAACGAGAAACACCACCAAGAAUUAUUGAGGCACACCGGAAGAAUCAAAAGCGAAGAGGUUGAGCCAACUAUGAAAAGAAUUUGAAAGAUCUUGGAGAAAAGCAUUUGACUAAUGAUAACUCAUUCUUACGUCAAACUUGGAGAAGAAUUUAGGAUAGUUCUGGGAAAAUAGAAGAGUCAGGUAAGAUCCUGGGAAAAGACCUGUGGGUUAGGGCCCACUCAAAAGAACGCCAUUGAAAAGAUUUAAAAGAGAUGUUGCACCGGUUGAAUUAAAUGACUUGAAUGAGAUACCAAUCUCGAAAGAGCUUGAACGAAUGCAGAGUGGAAACACAAAUCUUCGAGAUAUCUUGAGCAUUCCAGAAUAAUUGAAUAGCGAGAGAUGGAUGAUUAAGAGGUGCACCGGCACGAGAAAGCAUUGGAAAAAAAAAGAAAAGGAGUAUGCUUAAUACCAAAGCUUGAAUUAAAUCCACCGGAGAAGAAAACGAGAAUGACGAGUGAUGAACUUGGAGCUCCGUUAGUAUCUUCAUGAGAAUCACCGGAUAAGAACAUUGAAGGAAAAGAAUGGAGAGGUUUCACAACAAUAAGAUGGAUACUCGAUUAAGAAAUCUGAGUCCUUGAAGAAAAAGGGAGGGUGGGCGGGAAAAACAAAGGCAAGCUUGGAGACGGAUGAAACAAACACCGUUGAGAAGAAAUGAUAAAUGAUCUUGCAAAUGUUGACGUGAACGGAUCCACUUGAGGAGAGACACACCGGUUAAAAAAAAAGGAUUGACAAGACAGACUUGAUGAUCAAGAAGGAUUAGUAUUCACAUAGGAAUAUGAGAACACCAUUUAGGAAAGGUAUGGAUUCAACAUUUGACUUCGAAGCAACUCGAAUACCACAACUAAAACAAAACAAAGGAUUUGGCUUGCAGAAUAAGCCGGAACAAACAUAUGAUAGAGAUUUCGUUCGAAGUUUUCGUGGUGGGGCCUACACGGGCUCGAGUGUACAGCACCAUCAUGUACAAGGCAGUGCACAUGACAUACGAAGCGUCCCCGAGUCGGCAUAGCCAAGGACUCUUUAAGACACAACGAGACCACUGUAAAAUCGACCGUGAAUAGGCGGACCACUAGACGUCGAACCCCAAUUUCAUAUCAUACAUCUGUCGGAAAGAUAUCCUAAGAGCUACUUGAAUUCCCACCUAUGGAACUCCCGAAAUUUUUCCGGUUAUGCAAUCAGGUGUUGGGGAUACAUGGGAAGCAUAAUAUCUCACCUAAACUAGCAAAACCUACAUCCAGCUGUAUCCAUCCUUCAACACAUAACCAAGAAACCUUCGGAAAUCAUCUACCUCAACCUUCGAAAAGCAUCCGUUAUACAAGUCAUGGCAAUACUCCCGUACUCACCUCAGUACUGGGUUAUCGGGGUUAUCUCACCAACAACUGCAUAAAAGAGAUUUUCGAUGUCGGCGUACUAAACUCAGGUAUUCCAGAACUGCAACGAUAAAAUUAUGACGACAACACCUCAGAGCUCAACUCCCCGGGACACUUCCACUAAACCCCUGACAGGAGGCACCAAGACAAUGUUCUCAUCAUAAAACCAUCGGAACGAUUCCAAGAUACCCGCGUGAUCCUAAAUUUUUUUUAGUGAAAUUUGAGAAGAGAAGAGUCAAAACUCUACGUUAGGAUGCCUCGCAAGAGUGACGAAGGGACUGAGGAGUAAAAAGAAUUCCUAACUCUCCGAUAUAUAAUUCCUAAAUGACUCAAAACAUUUUUCUAGACACAACUCGGCCGCUAAAAACGAUCAAGCAAUGGGGCUCCUAAGGUCGGGGAAGGCUCUGAUUACCAACUUGUAACGCCCUCCAUGCGGCUAUAUCUCCCACGUGUCGAAGCACGACUUAGAGGCAUAACCGCAUUGAAAGCAAUGUCGCAAGUGAGGUAAUCUUCACACAACCCAUGUAAUACAUAAGGGAAAGAGAUACAUAGCUGGCUUACAAUCGCCACUUCACACAAUUACAUGAAUAAAGCAUUACAUCAUCCAGAUACAAUCAAGGUCCGACUACGGAACCAAAAUAAAAGAAGAACCCCAAAUGCGACAAAGGUCCCCGAUCGACCCCAACUGGGCUCCACUACUGAUCAACUAGAACGAAACAACACAAAGGGCAAGAUCUUCAUCGAGCUCCUCCUGAGCUUGGUUGCGUCAUUUGCACAGACUCAUCAGCACCUGCAAGCUGGUUUUGGAAGUAUCUGUGAGCCACAGGGACUCAGCAAUCUCGCACCUGCGAGAUCAAGACUAUUUAAGCUUAUGGGUAAGGUAAAGGUAUGAGGUGGAGCUGCAGCAAGCGACUAGCAUAUAUGGUGGCUAACAUACGCAAAUGAGAGCGAGAAGAGAAGGCAAAGCACGGUCGAUAAAAGUAUGAUCAAGAAGUGAUCCUGGACUACCUACGUCAAGCAUAACUCCAACAACCGUGUUCACUUCCCGGGCCCCGCCGGAAAGAGACCAUCACGGUUACACACACGGUUGAUGUAUUUUAAUUAAGGUCGACUUCGGGUUUUCUACAACCGGACGUUAACAAAUUCCCAUCUGCCCAUAACCGUGGGCACGGCUUUCGAAAGUUCAAAUCCCUGCAGGGGUGUCCCAACUUAGCCCAUGACAAGCUCUCACGGUCAACGAAGGAAUAGACCUCCACCCGAGACACUCCGAUCAGACUCGGUAUCCCGGUACAACAAGACAUUUCGACAGGGUAAAACUAAACCAGCAACACCGCCCGAAUGUGCCGACAAAUCCCGAUAGGAGCUGCACAUAUCUCUUUCUCAGGGCACACUCAGAUAGGUCAAGCUACGAGUAGAACCAACCCUCAAGUUUCCCCGAGGUGGCCCCGCAGGCUGCCCAGUUCGGACCAACACUCAGAGGAGCACUGGCCCGGGGGGGGGGUAAAAUAAUGAUGACCCUUGAGUCCGCGAAACCCAAGGGAAAAAGAGGCUAGGUGGCAAAUGGUAAAACCAAUGUUGGGCAUUGCUGGAAGAGCUUUACUUAAGGCGAACUGUCAAGGGGUUCCCAUUAUAGCCCAACCGUGUAAGGAACGCAAAAUCCGGGAACAUAACACCGAUAUGACGGAAACUAGGGCGGCAAGAGUGGAACAAAACACCAGGCAUAAGGCCGAGCCUUCCACCCUUUACCAAGUAUAUAGGUGCAUUAAUUAAAUAAGAUAUAUUGUGAUAUCCCAACAUAAACCCUGUCCACCAUGGAGCAAUCUUCAGCUUCACCUGCAGCUAGCAACGCUAUAAGAGGGGCUGAGCAAAGCGGUAACAUAGCCAAACAACGGUUUGCUAGGAAUGGUGUCAAAGGUUAGAGGUUCAUGGCAAUUUGGGAGGCUGACAAGCAAAUGGUAGGCAUCGUGGCAUUGGCAUAGCAAAAGAGCGAGCAAACUAGCAUAGCAAAGAUAGUAGUGAUUUCGAGGGUAUGAUCAUCUUGCCUGGGAUCCCGCAAGGAAGAAGAACGAUUCCAUGAAGAAGACAAACGGACGAAGACGAACGAAUCCUCACAACUCCGGAACGAAACCGAAGCUAACGAGAGAAGCAACCCGGAAAGAAACAAAC
rnacentral:lncRNA from 1 species